UCUGUCACCUGUGCACGCGCGCUCCUGCGUGGUGAGGCCGCGAGGAUCCUGGGGCAGGGUGUGAAGCUAAAAAAGUAGAAGUCAAAUUAUUAACAUGCAAAAACUUAAGUUAUCCCGUAGCAGUCAGAUGUCCAGAAGCGUGGGGCCUGGGCUACCUGUUAAAGACCACGGGAGAGGCUUUGUUGGAAGCUGGGAGGCUGGGGCAUGUGGGAGCGCUGAGUCACAGAGCGAGGGGCCCUUGUGUUUUCCAUCUUUCAGCCUCUCACGUAAAGCCCUUUAUUGUGACCUUAAGCAAGUUACUUGUUUGUGACUCCUGUUACCUCAUCGUAAAAUGAGAAUAAUAAUUAGCCACCGGAUGGGGCGGUUGGGAAGACUUAAAUGAGUUAGAUUUAAGGAGCGUAAGAUACGUAGUGCAUAGUAGAUAUUCAAUAAAUAUUAGCUCUUAUUAAUAUCCCUCUCAAUAAGUAGCAAGCAGGUGUCUGGGACGCCUUGGCCCCUUUGGGAAACAGUUUCUAAUUUUUUCUAAUACUUGCACUUUUUUGCCUUCUGAUUAUGACAAGCAAUAUGGAUUCUCUAUAGCGACGAAAUUAAGAUUCCUACAUAGAUAAGAAAAAAAUGAGUUGAUCUAAGAGAAAAAAAUUGGUACAUUGGCACAUGGAUAUAGCAAAUUAAUUAAGAUAGUACUUUAAUGACUGAAAGUUGGAAAAUCCUGGAGUUGGUGUUUUAGAAUGGAGCAGUGAUAUAAGUAAGUUUAAACUACAGAAAGGCUAUUAAGUGUGGAAACAUUUGACUAGGGCAAAGGAAAAAAAAUCACAUGUGAGGCUUACAGGACAAAAGGAGAGAAUUUAGGAGGGAUUGAACCUGCCAGAAAUGUUAACAUUAGGAAAUAAAGACAGAAGUGUCCAAGGCAAUAUUCGGAGAAAAACCCUAGGGAUUUAAUCACCAUUACCGGGCCAGAACCCCUAAUCCAAAACACAGGGCCCCAGAGAAAUUCAGAAUUGGGGGGAUUUUAAUAGUGUAGUACGCAUAUGAAUUUUAACAUCUCCCAGUGGCAUAUGGGGCAGUCGCAUCGCAUGAUCAAACACUAAUUUUUUUCUCUGACAUGUAAGAAUAUUGUCAUCGAGUGGCAUGGGCACCACUGACCACCUCCUGCCAUUUCAGUCAAGAAACAGGUAAGUGUGGUGCCACCUUACAAAAUACCUUUUGGACUUCAGAGUUGUGGAUAAGGGCUUGUGGGAGGUGGUCAGGGUGACUUCUCCAGGUGUUUAGCUUAAGCAGGUGAGUGGGUGAUGAUGAUGUGGAACAACCUAGGGAACAGUUUUAGGGAGACAGUUGUUUCCUCCAGGUUGCUUUGGGGACAGCUAGCUAUAUAGCCAGAAUGUGAGAGGACCAGGAACAGAGAGAGGUGAGCAGGGAUUGGAGGAGACUGUUUUGAAGCCAUUCUGUAAACAGGACGUCCUGUGGGCCGAGAAGAGAUCAGGGGCCUGCAGAUGCCUUGAACUGAGAAAGCCUUCCAGAGCUGCACCUCGGCUUCAUGCUCCCCGCAGACCCAUUGUGCCCUGCUCCUUUGCUGCCUGCAGACACAACCGGAGACCUCGGCUCAAGAAACACUACAACUAAUCGCAGGAGAGAGCUUCCCUCUCAUGGGACAUCCAGUCUACCAAGGGGACAGCGGUUCUCCUAGAGAGAAGAGGGGAAGAGACAGCUACCACUGGAAUUCGUAAAGAAAGGGUUUCUGACAUUUCAAAGUUUAACUUCCACAGUGUCUUGCCUUGCAGUGUCAGUACUGAGAGGUGUGAAGAAAUAAUGCUGGGACAGAAGAAUUGGUAUCAUGGGACAUGUGCAGCUGCCAAGCAGUGGACAGACAGUAGGAUCCCUGAUGAACAGAGUUGUGUAUGGGCUGCCCAGCUGUCUCAGUGUCCUGGUCACAGGAGAGGUGCUGGAGUCCCAGUGUGGCUGGGGACCUUCAGAAGAAGAGUGUCUAGCAGAGGAGAGGAGACUUCCAGGGACCUUCAGGAAGGGUAGGGGCAGAUGAGGGGAUGCAAGAAGGACAUGGAUGUAGAUCAGUGAUGAUGGUAUUCCGGGCAUUGGGACCACUUGACCACAGCAAAGAAUGUCUUUUUUUGUUUGGGGGCACUGUUGAGACAGGAAACCAGAUUAGAAAAGACCUUAAAAACCAGCCAGGGUAUCUGGAAAUGAGGAGUGAUUAUAGACCCUGAAGAAUAAGGAAAAUAUUUCUUUAAGAAUUAUGUGUUUUCUUUAAAAACUAGAAACAUCUUUGGAAAGAAAAAAUUUUUCUCUAGUUUUUAGUUAUUCCCCCCAGACUUUUCAUAUUUCUAGAUGGAAAAUAUGGGAUGACUAUUAAUAACAGUACAGUGGAAUUGCUCCUAUCAGGUCUUGCAGGUUUUUUGUUUUGUUUGUUUUUGUUUUCUACAAGGGAUUGAGCCCAAGGCCUUUGCCCUGAGCUACAUUGUUCUUUUUUAUUUUUUAUUUUGAGACAGAGUCUCACUAAAUCAUUAAAUUGCCCAGGCUGGGCUCAAACUGGUAAUGUAAUCUUCCUGUCUCAGCUUCCCAGAGUGCUGGGGUCCCAGGUGUGUUCCACCAUGCUCAGCUCAGCAGCAGUCUUUAAAACAAAAGCAUCUUGGUGGCUGGCCUGGGGCUUGCAGUUUAUUAGCAUUGCUGAACUCUGCCACGCUCUGGGAGAUGAGGAAAGUAUGAAUGUGUGUGAGGCAUCAUUUAGUUGGACCCAAUAUUACCUGCCGAGCAAGGAAAGACAGGUGGACACCGAUUAACAGCUUGGCUGCUGGCAGAUCCAGGUUCCAAUCUCUGCUUUGUCCUUAUUCAGCCCACAAACAGUCUUAGUUCUUCAGUCUCCUCCUGCAUGGCAUGGUGUUGACCAACAGUAUCUGUCCCAUGGUGUUAUUCUGAGGAUUCACUGAGCCAGUGUAUUAAAGCAGAACAUUUAAAGCCGAAUAUUUAAAGCUGUAAAGGCUGUUACUUCAUAUUAGUAGCUGAUUAUGGAGGACCUAUUAAAAUAGAAAAUUCAAUAGCAUAUAUAUCUCUCCUCUUCUUUGCUUA